rnacentral:rRNA from 1 species
UACGGGGGGGGCAAGCGUUGUUCGGAAUUACUGGGCGUAAAGGGCUCGUAGGCGGCCAACUAAGUCAGACGUGAAAUCCCUCGGCUUAACCGGGGAACUGCGUCUGAUACUGGAUGGCUUGAGUGUGGGAGAGGGAUGCGGAAUUCCGGGUGUAGCGGUGAAAUGCGUAGAUAUCUGGAGGAACACCGGUGGCGAAGGCGGCAUCCUGGACCACGACUGACGCUGAGGAGCGAAAGCCAGGGGAGCAAACGGG